ensembl:lncRNA
CUCAUCUCUCAUACCUGCAAACGCCACCCGGCUUUAUAGAUGCUGAAUUUUGGGGAACAGGACCUGAACUUUUCCCUUCUUGGCUCAGGCAGAUGCAGCACUGACCGGAGUGGAAUUUUGUUAAAGCCCUCGGGAUAGGUAUUGCCUUGCUGGUCCUGGCUCUGCCAACUCAAACUGUUGGAUCACAUGGACUUUGAAAGCACUGUUUCUGUCUGCUAUGACUUGUCAGGCUUUCCUUAUCCUUCAAGACUUGGCUUUGACCUCACGUAUUGCAACAAGCCUUUCAAGAACUCUGGUAUUGCAGGAAAUUCCAAGAUAUUCCUCGUGUGCCGCGACUACUGAGCCAGUGAGCCACAGUUACUUAAGCCCACGCACCUAGAGCUUGUGCUCCACCAGAGAAGCCACUGCAAUGAGAAGCCCUGGCAUUGCAGCUUGAGAGUAGCUCCCACUUUCCACAAUCAGAGGAAGACCUAGUGCAGCAACGAAGACCCAGUGCAGCCAAAAAUAAAAAUAAAUACAUUUUCAAAAGGUCG